rnacentral:rRNA from 1 species
GAUGAACGCUGGCGGCGUGCCUAAUACAUGCAAGUCGAGCGAACGGACGAGAAGCUUGCUUCUCUGAUGUUAGCGGCGGACGGGUGAGUAACACGUGGAUAACCUACCUAUAAGACUGGGAUAACUUCGGGAAACCGGAGCUCAUACCGGAUAAUAUUUUGAACCGCAUGGUUCAAAAGUGAAAGACGGUCUUGCUGUCACUUAUACAUGGAUCCGCGCUGCAUUAGCUAGUUGGUAAGGUAACGGCUUACCAAGGCAACGAUGCAUAGCCGACCUGAGAGGGUGAUCAGCCACACUGGAACUGAGACACGGUCCAGACUCCUACGGGAGGCAGCAGUAGGGAAUCUUGCGCAAUGGGCGAAAGCCUGACGGAGCCACGCCGCGUGAGUGAUGAAGGUCUUCGGAUCGUAAAACUCUGUUAUUAGGGAAGAACAUAUGUGUAAGUAACUGUGCACAUCUUGACGGUACCUAAUCAGAAAGUCACGGCUAACUACGUG